rnacentral:lncRNA from 1 species
UAAUAUGAUGUUCAGGUCUCACGUGGCGUAGGUUAUUCGGCGUUGAGACAGACCCCAUAUGUGGCGUUGGUUGUACCGGCGUAUGGGGAGCUAUGUAAUAAUGUGUUGAGGUCGCACGUGGCGUAGGUUAUCCGGCGUGUCGACAGACCCCAUACGUGGCGUUGGUUGUACCGGCGUAUGGGGAGAUUUGUGAUAUGAUAUUGAGGUCCCGCGUGGCGUAGGUUAUCCGGCGUUGGGACAGGCCCCAUACGUGGCGUUGGUUGUACCGGCGUAUGGGGAGAUUAUAUGAAAUACAAAGAAAUGAAAUAAGGUAUCGCUCAAGUAGGGAAUUGAGUUUUAGGGAAGAACUACGUGUGGCUUGAUCCCUCAAGGAGGGUACGUAGGCAGCCUGAGGUUAUUAGGUGCAGCCGCAGACUAAAUAUUAGUCAUAAAUUGUAAUUGAAUUGUUUGGUAGUUGUUUGAGAAUUUUGGAAGGCCGAAGGCCAUUUAUGAGAAUUUGCAUGAGAUUAUAUUGUGCAUGCUGCCCGUUGGUGAUAUUAAAUGCGUUUUCAUGCAGGUAUAAAUUUUGGGAAACGUCCAAUUUACAGGGGAGACUCUGCCGAAAUUUUGGCAGGAUUUCGGCAGGAAGUCUCGGUUUCAGUGAGUGGGCCUGACAUCGGGGUGAUGUCAGGAAUCCCCAAAGGGUUCGUCUCGAAUUUUGAGAAAAUUCGGGGCGGGUCCUUAACGUUGGUAUCAGAGCUCUAGGUUCAAUUCCCUGUGGACCCUACACUUUAUGUGCAUCCUUAAAUUGUGGGGAUCAAAAUGGGUACCAUCUCGGAAUGGCACAUUUGCGACGUUGAGGACGUCACAAAAGUCAAAUUAUUUCACAAAGGAAAGGUACAUAGGCCACCGGAGCAUAAGUAGAGCUGGAGCUUUACCACAGACAGUGGUUGUUUCAGAAGUUCCGGAAGAUGGCGAGUAGAAGCCGAAAGUUUGCAUAGGGUAACACCUGUACGUAUGGUACAGUUGGAUGUCCCUAUGAUAAAGUUGUCCGUUGGGUUCGCAUAAGCGGGAGGUAGGGAGUGGAUCCACCUACUUCUAGGGAUCCUCCAUUGCCUGAACAUGUUGCUAAUUUUCGAUUGUGUGCCUAGAGCACCGAGUCGAAGAUCCUAAGAGCAUAACCUCUCUCUGGGACGAGCAACUCCCCGACAUUGGAUCAAGGGAUCCAGGGUCUGAAGGGUGGUGUUGGUAUAAUCGAAAUCACAAGUGUCUCUUACAGAAAGAGGCUCGUGUGUGGUGAGAAUACUAUGGUCAAGUCUAAGGACGAGACCCAGAUGGAUGGAGAGAGUCCUUUGGGGUCUCAUCUCACGUGAGCACGUUUGAGUAGAGAUCUUUCAUCGGAAUCAGAAAUGGAUCAUGGUCGAGAGAGAUCGAUGAUGAUUACAAUUCGGUAAAAAUGAUCAUUUCUGACUUUUCUCUCAACGAAUCGUGUUAGCAAAGUAAAGGGAGAAGUAGUGGAGUUGGGUGUAACCGUACUUCAUUUGCGUGGGCUUGAAUGCCGCGAUUGACAGGAGUGGAACAUUAGGGUUCUUCUUCUUCCUUGCUCUCUCACGUGAGCUCGCCAUAGUUAGAGAAGGAGACUUUUCUUUCUCUGCUUGCUUAGCUAGAGCUUUUGGCUUGGUUGCCAACACGGUUGUGGAGAAAGAACUUGGGAACCCGAGUGGUAGAUGCGGGCCCCAUGCUCACAACCCUUCGAAUGACAAGGUAGGAAAUUUCGGGGACGAAAUUUUUAUAAGGGGGGUAGUCUGUAACACCCCGACCCCAAAUUUCCCCAAAUUUUACCCUCAUUUAAUUAUUUAAUUAUUUAAGGAUAUUUUAGUCAUAUUUUUAACCGGAGAGAGUUUGGGACCGCGACUUACAUUUUUGGAUAGGUCGUACUGAGAAGAGUUCAUAGACACGUAGUGGGCUCGAAUCGGAGUUGUAACGAGAGAGAUAUGGUCAAAAGAAACCCAGUGGCACAAUCGUAAAUAUUUCGAAAUGGGAUUUUUUAUAAAAAAAACCUGGUUUCUCUCUCUCUCUCUCUCUCUCUCUCUCUCUCUCUCUCUCUCUCUCUCUCUCUCCCGCGAGCAGCCCCUCCCCUCCCGUUUUUUUCUGCACAGCUGGUGGCUCCAAGAGCCACCACAGCCGCCACCAGCCACCGAUUGGGGUGGUACCGGUCCCAAAAGAACCGCCAGCUCCUCCUCCUUCCAUCCCGCUCCAUCCCCGACCUCGGCAGCCGCUGGUGUCGCCGGAAUCUGCCGGAAAACGAGCUGGUUUUCACAGAUUUUCAAACCGCUCGUUCUCCCUCAUUUCUUCUCCAAAUUUGACGAGUAAGGUAUGGAUUUCUACCUAUUUUUCAUGCUCUAGCUGAUGGUUGGAUAGGAUUUCGUUAAUUUUGAGCCUAGGAUAGCUGAUCUUCAAUUUGAAAUUCUGCCGAUUUUGAGAGUUUGUUUUCGGCCACUUCCAGUCACUUUUUGGGGUAGGUCCAAGAACAAAAGUGGCUCCAAAUAGGGUGAUAUACCUAGGGUAGGAGUUUGGAGCCGAGAUGUUGAGAUUUUCCGGCGAAGCGUUAUCGCUUUGGGCACCCACGCGCUGCCGGCGCGUGCGGCGGCGCGUGGGCACUGUAGAAAAUUAGCACUGUGUUCCGAUGAGAUCCUUAGGUUGUCACGAGUGCGUAGGAUUUUGCGGAUCUCAAUUCGGACAUCGUUUGACUAUCGAACGGAUAAUUGCAUAGUAUGCGUUAUCCGGGUCCGAUAGGUUGGGACCGUCGGAUGGUCCCAAAUUUAAUAUAUGUUAAUCUAGGUAUUUCUUGGAUCGUGUAGGAAUUCACGGAUCGUGAAUCGGAGCCCCGGAUGUUCCGAAUAAUAAUUUAAAGUUUAUAUUUUAUAUUAACCGUCAGAUCGUGCGAUCGUGAGCAAUCCGACCGUCCGAUCUGAACCAAACUUGCAGGACAAGUGUCCUAUACCUGGUAGAACCCAUAGGGACUUCCGGAUCGGAAAUUGGAGGUCAUGGGUUCCGCAGGUCCGUUUGACCAGGGUUAGAGUAGUUUGACCCUUGGUUGACUGUGAGCCACCCGGAGUAAUCUCACCUCUCCAGGGGAGAUUAUCGGGUGCUAGAUGAUUGUGGAGGGUGACACAAUAUUAGGAUUAAUUUAUAUAAAUAUAAUUAUAUGUGGUUGUACAAGGGUACAACAGAGUCUAGAAUGUCAGUUUGGAGUGCUAUACGCACUACCGUAGGUACCUCCUCGGACGUUGGAUUCACUACAAGUACCACCAAGAGAAAGUGAGGUCGCACGUGGCGUAGGUUAUCCGGCGUGUCGACAGACCCCAUACGUGGCGUUGGUUGUACCGGCGUAUGGGGAGCUAUGUAAUAUGAUGUUCAGGUCUCACGUGGCGUAGGUUAUUCGGCGUUGAGACAGACCCCAUAUGUGGCGUUGGUUGUACCGGCGUAUGGGGAGAUUAUAUGAAAUACAAAGAAAUGAAAUAAGGUAUCGCUCAAGUAGGGAAUUGAGUUUUAGGGAAGAACUACGUGUGGCUUGAUCCCUCAAGGAGGGUACGUAGGCAGCCUGAGGUUAUUAGGUGCAGCCGCAGACUAAAUAUUAGUCAUAAAUUGUAAUUGAAUUGUUUGGUAGUUGUUUGAGAAUUUUGGAAGGCCGAAGGCCAUUUAUGAGAAUUUGCAUGAGAUUAUAUUGUGCAUGCUGCCCGUUGGUGAUAUUAAAUGCGUUUUCAUGCAGGUAUAAAUUUUGGGAAACGUCCAAUUUACAGGGGAGAUUCUGCCGAAAUUUCGGCAGGAUUUCGGCAGGAAGUCUCGGUUUCAGUGAGUGGGCCUGACAUCGGGGUGAUGUCAGGAAUCCCCAAAGGGUUCGUCUCGAAUUUUGAGAAAAUUCGGGGCGGGUCCUUAAAGUGGGCCUAGGGGAGUGGAACUUGGAUUUACCCAAACUAAUUUUGUAUACAAAAUAAAAUAAAAAUCAUAGUCCACAAAAUAAUUUAAAAUAAUUAAUUACUAGGAUUCAUUAUGGGUAGUUGUGUUCCAUAAAAAUAGGAUUCAUUAUUUGAUUUUUCUUUUAAUUUUAAUUUUUUUAAUAUAAAAAGGUGUGAAUUUAUCAUAUUAUCCUCAUUUAAUUAAUAAUUUUAAUUCUUAAUGUUUGGAUUAACUAAGGCUAUUUUAUGGUAUUAUGAAUGUUUCACCAUUCUCUGCCUUUUGCUUUAUUUAUACUAGCCUCUCUGCACGCGCUUCCGCGCAUGCGAGAGUUUUUUUUUUUUUUUUAAAUUUAAAUUUAUUUUAGAAUUAAAAAAGAUAAUGGAUAUUUGUGUUCCAUAAAAAUAGGAUCCAUUAUCUGAAUUUUCUUUUAAUUUUAAUUUUUUUAAUACGAAAAAUUGUGAACUUACCAUAUUAUCCUCAUUUAAUUAAUAAUUUGAAUUCUUAAUGUUUGCAUUAACCAAGGGCAUUUUCUGGUAUUUUAAAUGUUUCACCAUUCUCUGCCUUUUGCUUUAUAUAUAUAGAUAUAUAAGAUAUAGAUUAACCAAAUAGUUCUCAUAAAGAUACGACUUCAAACUAAUUCCUUCAAUUUUGUUUGAAAAAAGUACAAGAGCAUGUUUUGUUUCAAUUCUGUUCGACUAUUUUUAUUUUGAAAAAUUCAUAGUUUGUUAACUGGAAUUAUAAUCUGAUUUCAUUUCACUAACGUAAUUCACUAAUAUUUCAUAUGCUUUCUACUCGCAG